rnacentral:rRNA from 1 species
GCCGCGGAGAAUUUCGAUGUGCAGGAGCAACUUGGGAGUCAAAUUGGGCUUGUUGAUCAGGAAAAUAGUGAUGAGCAAAUUAGAGAUGGAAAUUUGGUGGAAUCUGUUGAGAUUGUGGAUCAGGAUGGGUCAGUGUCCGAUGAAAAGACUGAGGACGGGCUAGAGGUUGAAGUUGAAUGUUCUGACACUGAUUUGGAAGAGCAAGCGGAAUCUGAGGGGAUCAUCGAUAGGGUGGUCGAAGAGAGGUUGGAGAUGAGCAGGAUGGGUGAAGAAAAUGCGGAGGAAAGGCGAAAGGCACCAAUGAAACAGUUGAAGCGGGCCGAGGAGUUCGAGAAGAGGCAGGCCUCAUUUGGGCAGCACUGGGAGGAGGGAGCAGCGGCACAACCCAUGCGCCUGGAGAGGAUUGGGAAGGGCCAACCAGCUAUUGGUUACAUGCAGAUCGAGGUGGACAACCCGAUAACUCGUGCCAUGGCUUCUCCAUCUUUUAGACAGGAACAUGGCUCUCCUCAGGUCUUAGCAGUACAUAGGAGCUAUAUUGCGACGGGUAUGUCCAAUGGAUCUGUUAUCAUUGUCCCAAGCAAACACUCCAUCCAUCAAGCUGAUGAUACAGAUGCAAAGAUGUUGUUCUUUUGGAACCAAGGUGUGAAAACUCAAUCACCAGUGACUGCCAUGUGCUUUAACCCGCAAGGGGAUCUUCUGCUAGUAGGAUAUGGUGAUGGUCAUAUGACAAUUUGGGAUGUACAGAAGGCUACUGCAGCAAAAGUCAUAUAUGGUGGGCAUACAGGAGCUGUAGUGCAUGUUUGUUUUAUCUGCCAAUCUAAAGCCAUCACUGGUGAUUCAAAAGGGCUUGUUCUUCUGCACACAUUCUUGAUUAUCCCUGUCAUUAAUCGCUUGACUGUCAAGGGAACCCAGCGCCUUUUUGAUGGACAUACUGGAAUCGUGCUCUCAGCCUGCCCUCUUCUAGCGGAUGAAUCCUUUGGUUCUGGCAACUCAUCUAUGCAAGGCAACCUAAUAACUUCCUCGAGUGGUGGUCUUGGGAGCAUGAUGGGAGGUUUAGUUGGAGUAGAUUCUGGACGGAAGUUUUUCAAUGAAGGUUCUUCUCCAAUGGAGGAUGGUGUUACAGUCAUGUUCAUUAUGCAUCAACAUGCUCUUGUGGUUAGACUCCGCACCAACAGUGACCACGUUGACCAUAUUGAGACCUUCUCUAGACCAGAAGGAGCACGAGAAGGGUCAAUUGCCUAUGCUGCAUGGAAAUACACAUCAUCCUAGAGUGAUUCAUCGCCAAUUGAUGAAGAGCCAGUAUCUUGGCUUGCGCUUGUCUGGGACCGUCAAGUGCAAGUGGCAAAGUUUGUUAAAUCAAAGGUGAUCAAACACAAGGACUGGAAUCAUGAUAGUGCCGCCGUUGGUGUUGCUUGGUUAAAUGAUCAGAUGUUAGCUGUCCUUAACUUGAGAGGGCAGCUCUGCCUGUUCUCAAAAGAUGGCAGUGAGCUUCGCAGGACUAUCUUUAUUCUUGAUGGUUUGGUCUUCGAUGACAGCAUACUGUACCAUACACAUUUUUCUAACAGGUUUGGUAACCCUGAGAGGCAUUUUAACAACUCGGUAGCAGUAAGAGGUGCUACAGUAUAUAUUCUUGGCCCAAGCUUUCUUACAGUUUCGCCACUUCUUCCAUGGAAAGAGUGGAUUGAAGCACUAAAGAGGGCUGGUGAUUGGAUGGGUGCAAUGGACAUGGCAAUGAAGCUUUAUGACGGUCACACACAGGGUGUUGUUGAUCUUCCGAGAACAGUUGAUUCCAUAAGGGAAGCCAUAAUGCCGUAUCUAGUAGAGUUGCUGCUGUCAUAUAUAGGUUAUGUCUUUGAAUAUAUUUCAAUUGCAUUGUCAAACCAUACUGGAAAAGGGGGAGCAGCAGAUGGCCUGAUAGACGCCGAUAGAUCACUGCUGACAGAGAGAGAAGAACAAUAUGCUCGUGUAGGAGGGGUUGCAGUCGAGUUUUGUGUUCACAUUGGACGGAAUGACAUCCUGUUUGAUACAGUCUUCUCUAAGUUUGUUGCUGCUCAAAGUGGAGGUAUGUUUCUGGAGGUACUAGAGCCAUAUAUGUUGAAAGAUAUGCUUGGUUCUUUACCACCUGAGAUCAUGCAAGCUCUAGUAGAGCAUUAUAGUGGCAAAGGAUGGUUGCAGCGAGUCGAACAAUGCAUUCUUCAUAUGGAUAUUUCAUCACUGGAUUUUAAUCAGGUAGUCAGACUCUGUCGUGAGCAUGGGUUAUAUGGUGCUCUAAUAUAUUUAUUUAACCAAGGCUUGAAUGAUUUCCGUUCACCUCUAGAGGAACUUCUAUCUGUUAUCCAGAACGCUACUAGAAAAGAUGCUACUUGCUACAGAAUGCUUGUUUAUCUGAAGUAUUGCUUCCAGGGCCUAGCAUUUCCUCCAGGUUAG